AUGUUCUUACUUCUGGAUGCAGGAAAAUUAGUACACACCUUUAUAACUUUUAGACUGGAUUACUGCAACAGCCUGUCGGUUGGCUGUGCCUCUGCAUCAUUAAACCAACAACACUUGGUGUAAAAUGCUGCAGCAAGAGUCCGAACAAAGACUAGGAAACAUGCGCGUAUCAAUCCUGUACUGGCCUCACUCCACUGGCUCCCGGGCUGAAGCUGCCAAGGCUUACUACUGAAGGAAGGGAUUCGCCUGAGUUCACCAGAAGUUCACGGCUGAGCAUUUUUAAAAAACUAGGUGGAGAUGGUCGCGCCACCAUUAUGUUCUGUCGAAGGGACCAAACAUUAAAAGAAAUGAUGGACAAAUGUAUCAUCUAGGGGUGUGGAUCAAGGGAAAAAGCAAAGAUUGUGAAUGGUUGAAGGAAUGAUGAUGCUCAAGUAACGAGAUAUUGUUGAAUAAGAACUUGUAUAAAAAUUGGUGUAAAACAGUAUUGGACACACUCCUGCAGGCUGUCCAGCCUGGGUUGUAACCUCACUGUUGCAAUAAAGACUCAAUCUGAAGAUCUACACAA